CAGGAACCAACAGGGAUUGCCCCAGUAACGGCGAGUGAAGCGGCAACAGCUCAAAUUUGAAAUCUGGCCCCUUGGGGUCCGAGUUGUAAUUUGUAGAGGAUGCUUUUGAUGAGGCGCCGCCUGAGUUCCCUGGAACGGGACGCCAUAGAGGGUGAGAGCCCCGUCUGGCUGGCCGCCGAGUCUCUGUAAAGCUCCUUCGACGAGUCGAGUAGUUUGGGAAUGCUGCUCAAAAUGGGAGGUAUAUGUCUUCUAAAGCUAAAUACCGGCCAGAGACCGAUAGCGCACAAGUAGAGUGAUCGAAAGAUGAAAAGCACUUUGAAAAGAGGGUUAAAUAGUACGUGAAAUUGUUGAAAGGGAAGCACUUGUGACCAGACUUGGGCUUGGCGAAUCAUCCGGCGUUCUCGCCGGUGCACUUUGCCUCGUCCAGGCCAGCAUCAGUUCGUCGCGGGGGACAAAGGCUUCGGGAACGUGGCUCCUCCGGGAGUGUUAUAGCCCGCUGCGUAAUACCCUGCGGUGGACUGAGGUUCGCGCAUCUGCAAGGAUGCUGGCGUAAUGGUCAUCAGUGACCCGUCUUGAAACACGGACCAAGGAGUCGUCUUCGUAUGCGAGUGUUCGGGUGUCAAACCCCUACGCGUAAUGAAAGUGAACGCAGGUGAGAGCUUCGGCGCAUCAUCGACCGAUCCUGAUGUUCUCGGAUGGAUUUGAGUAAGAGCAUACGGGGCCGGACCCGAAAGAAGGUGAACUAUGCCUGUAUAGGGUGAAGCCAGAGGAAACUCUGGUGGAGGCUCGCAGCGGUUCUGACGUGCAAAUCGAUCGUCAAAUAUGGGCAUGGGGGCGAAAGACUAAUCGAACCUUCUAGUAGCUGGUUUCCGCCGAAGUUUCCCUCAGGAUAGCAGUGUUGAUCUCAGUUUUAUGAGGUAAAGC
rnacentral:rRNA from 1 species